GAAAAAUUCUUAUAACGGUCUUGAAAUCUUCCACCUGUUGCGUUGUGCAUAAGCUCCAUGGUUUCGCAAUUGAGCCAUCUGAUUUCAUGUCUCCUUCAAUUUUCUGUGCUGCACGGUUAAGGAAUCUGCAUGCAAAUAGAGAGGUUCUUGGUUAGGAAACCAAAUUGGGGUUGGUGUGAGGGAGAGGGUGGGACUAAAUUGGGAUAAGAUUAGCAUGACAAAUUAGGAUGGUUGAGGUAUGUGGUGUUGUGUUUGGGUGCACAAGGAUACGUGGUUCGAUUGUCGGAUCCCAAACUUUCUCCUUGCCUAGAGAUGAUAGCUGGAGACUAGUUUUCCGAACAGAGGCAACAAUAACACGACCUAAACCAACAAAUGGACUCCCGUGUGGCUUAUCAAAUUUAUAGAAACGGUUUCCAGAGAAGAAAAUGGCCAUUCCGAUUAGGUUGGCGAUGACACAAAGGCCAAACCCCCAUUUAAAACCGACGUUGUCUUCAAUGUAGACAAUGACUGUUAGGGCUACCACUGUAAUAGAGUAUAGAGUGAAGAAGAACCAGUUGAAGAAACUUGCUUGAUGCUUAGGCUUAUCAAAUUGAUUGGCUCCCAGUGUUGCCAAGGUAUAGCGGGUACCUCCCAAGCCAAGAGAUGCGACAGUUACGCCGGUGUACAAGACUGCAUACUGUAAUGCCGAGGUCGGUUGAGGCUUCAACGAAUUCAGCGUUGCGGUUAAAACUAAGAGAACGAUGCCCUGCAACGAAUUUAUCAAUUAUUUAGAAUGCUACCCUAGAUCAUAUAUGUAUGGGAGAUUAUCUAGUAAACAUUCGUAUAUGAUAUAUCAGCUUGCAUGAUAUAUUGUUGGCUUGCGAAUUUAAUACUGAAACGACAGUUACACAUAAUCAGUGGAUGAACAAUCUUCAUGAUCUCAGAUCAAAUUGACAAGAAAUUGUAUUAUCCAUAACCACAGAAA